rnacentral:rRNA from 1 species
AAUGAACGCUGGCGGCAGGCCUAACACAUGCAAGUCGAACGGAUCCUUCGGGAUUAGUAGCGGACGGGUGAGUAACGCGUGGGAAUCUGCCCUUGGGUUCGGAAUAACAGUUAGAAAUGACUGCUAAUACCGGAUGAUGUCUUCGGACCAAAGAUUUAUCGCCCAAGGAUGAGCCCGCGUAGGAUUAGGUAGUUGGUGGGGUAAUGGCCCACCAAGCCGACGAUCCUUAGCUGGUCUGAGAGGAUGAUCAGCCACACUGGGACUGAGACACGGUCCAAACUCCUACGGGAGGCAGCAGUGGGGAAUAUUGGACAAUGGGCGAAAGCCUGAUCCAGCAAUGCCGCGUGAGUGAUGAAGGCCUUAGUGUUGUAAAGCUCUUUUACCAGGGAUGAUAAUGACAGUACCUGGAGAAUAAGCUCCGGCUAACUCCGUGCCAGCCGCCGCAGUAA